rnacentral:rRNA from 1 species
GACGAACGCUGGCGGCGUGCUUAACACAUGCAAGUCGAACGGUAAGGCCCCUUCGGGGGUACACGAGUGGCGAACGGGUGAGUAACACGUGGGUGAUCUGCCCUGCACUUCGGGAUAAGCCUGGGAAACUGGGUCUAAUACCGGAUAGGACCACGCUCUGCAUGGAGUGUGGUGGAAGGCUUUUGCGGUGUGGGAUGGGCCCGCGGCCUAUCAGCUUGUUGGUGGGGUGAUGGCCUACCAAGGCGACGACGGGUAGCCGGCCUGAGAGGGUGUCCGGCCACACUGGGACUGAGAUACGGCCCAGACUCCUACGGGAGGCAGCAGUGGGGAAUAUUGCACAAUGGGCGCAAGCCUGAUGCAGCGACGCCGCGUGGGGGAUGACGGCCUUCGGGUUGUAAACCUCUUUCAGUACCGACGAAGCGCAAGUGACGGUAGGUACAGAAGAAGCACCGGCCAACUACGUG